rnacentral:rRNA from 1 species
CCUUCGGGGUACUCGAGCGGCGAACGGGUGAGUAACACGUGGGUAACCUGCCUUCAGCUCUGGGAUAAGCCUGGGAAACUGGGUCUAAUACCGGAUAUGACACGCGGCCGCAUGGUUGUGUGUGGAAAGAUUUUUCGGCUGGAGAUGGACUCGCGGCCUAUCAGCUUGUUGGUGGGGUAGUGGCCUACCAAGGCGAUGACGGGUAGCCGGCCUGAGAGGGCGACCGGCCACACUGGGACUGAGACACGGCCCAGACUCCUACGGGAGGCAGCAGUGGGGAAUAUUGCGCAAUGGGCGAAAGCCUGACGCAGCAACGCCGCGUGAGGGAUGACGGCCUUCGGGUUGUAAACCUCUUUCAGCGCUGACGAAGCCUUUCGGGGUGACGGUAGGCGCAGAAGAAGCACCGGCUAACUACGUGCCAGCAGCCGCGGUAAUACGUAGGGUGCGAGCGUUGUCCGGAAUUAUUGGGCGUAAAGGGCUCGUAGGCGGUUUGUUGCGUCUGCUGUGAAAGCCCGGGGCUUAACCCCGGGUCUGCAGUGGAUACGGGCAGGCUAGAGUCCGGCAGGGGAGACUGGAAUUCCUGGUGUAGCGGUGGAAUGCGCAGAUAUCAGGAGGAACACCGGUGGCGAAGGCGGGUCUCUGGGCCGGUACUGACGCUGAGGAGCGAAAGCGUGGGGAGCGAACAGGAUUAGAUACCCUGGUAGUCCACGCCGUAAACGUUGGGCGCUAGGUGUGGGUUCCCUUCCACGGGAUCCGUGCCGUAGCUNACGCAUUAAGCGCCCC